rnacentral:lncRNA from 1 species
CGAGUUGCAGACCCCCUGAUCGGAGCAGAAGCCCGCCUUCAUCAGCCAGCCAUGGAGCUGCCGGCCCUUGCUCGUCGCGCCCACGCUCGCGGCGGCGCUGAGCAGGCUCGCAAAGGUCAGCGCGCUGGCCCCAAUCUCUCCCCCGUCACCAUCGUCAUCAUCAUCACCAUCGCCAUGCGAGAUCAGGUUCUUCUCCAGAAGGUGAUCCAGAGCUCUGCGGGCCUCCUCCAUCCUCCCCGAUUUGGCGAGCACGGCGACGAACGCGUUCCCGACGCAGUUGACGGAGGCCACGCCGGCCUUCACCGCCUGCGCGUAGACCUG